rnacentral:sRNA from 1 species
CUUGCCACUAUUUGGUGAAUAGACCUAUGUCACACAUAUGCAAAAAUACAUAGUUGCUGAUAAAUGGUCAAAGUUAUAGAAGGCUAUUUUCCUUCAGUGCACUUAGCCAGCUAAUUUGCUGCUUCUUUUUUUUUUUAAACAGUUUCAGCUCCUGGCAUCAGCUCUAUUCAAAUCUGGUUCAGAUUUUACAGCUCUGGGCUUUUCUGAUGUGGAUCACACCUAUGCUCAAAGAACUCAGCUCUUUGACACCUUAGUAAAUUUCUUUCCUGACAGCAUGACUCCUCCUAAAGGCAACCUGGUAGACCUCAUCACACUGUAACUGAAGAGUCACUGGACACAGAAAUGGAAAACAGGAGUCGAUUUUCCGUCUUUUGGAUUGCAGCUCCACUGACUGACAGUAAAGCUGCAGUGAUUGAGGACUGCACCAGAGUUCUGAAGGGAUCUUAACCAUCACAAGUUUUUACCCUCUUCCUUCAUGCCUGACCUCAACCCCGCUCUCCUCAUCCUAUUCCUAAAUUAGGCUAAUAAAGUGAAAUUGGUAUACUUUCCAGUU